AGUGAACGCUGGCGGUAGGCCUAACACAUGCAAGUCGAACGGCAGCACAGUAAGAGCUUGCUCUUACGGGUGGCGAGUGGCGGACGGGUGAGGAAUACAUCGGAAUCUACUUUUUCGUGGGGGAUAACGUAGGGAAACUUACGCUAAUACCGCAUACGACCUACGGGUGAAAGCAGGGGAUCUUCGGACCUUGCGCAAUUGAAUGAGCCGAUGUCGGAUUAGCUAGUUGGCGGGGUAAAGGCCCACCAAGGCGACGAUCCGUAGCUGGUCUGAGAGGAUGAUCAGCCACACUGGAACUGAGACACGGUCCAGACUCCUACGGGAGGCAGUAGUGGGGAAUAUUGGACAAUGGGCGCAAGCCUGAUCCAGCCAUACCGCGUGGGUGAAGAAGGCCUUCAGGUUGUAAAGCCCUUUUGUUGGGAAAGAAAAGCGGCAGGUUAAUACCCCGCUGUUCUGACGGUACCCAAAGAAUAGGCACCGGCUAACUUCGUG
rnacentral:rRNA from 1 species